GGAAGUUUUCAAAUCAGCAUUACAUGUGUAAAGUCAUAAUCCCUGAACAUGAUAAAUAGCGUAGUAGAAAAUUUGAAAAGCGCAAAAAUUAAACCCUUUCAUCGUCGCGCAAACGGCGCACGAAAGGCUACGCCACGUGUCUUUUACUGUGACGAAGGGGAAAAGGUUAAAAACGCGUCCAGCCAUCGAUCCCCUCAUUUUCCCCAUCUCCCAUUUUCUCUUCCCUGAGUGGCGGGUAGGGUUAGCGCGAUCGCCGCCUCAUCCCCGCACGCAACCUCUCCUUUCGGCUCUCCUCCGCGGCUCCGCCUCCUCCUCUGGUGGCAUCCAACCCAUCGUCUUCUCCUACUUCCCUCUCUUAUUCUUCUGUGCCUCGACGAGGUGGGCAAGCCGGUGCACACACAAAGGGUGGUUGCGGCUGUGGCUCCGAUGCGGGCGCCGUGGAGGUGGAGUCGGAGCUGCAGCAGAAGGAGGUGGACGGCCGCGACAACAGCUUUAGCUUCGAUGAGUUCCAUCACCUCCAUUGCUAUCUCAGGUUAGCCGAUUAAUGUAUUUGAUUGCUGGCCCUUUUGUGUUGGCUGAUGGUGGCGAGAUGAAAUAAGAAUUAAACCUGAUGCUGGGACAAUAAGUAUUUGUACUAUAGAUCCACUAAAGAUUGUAUUGAAAUAGCAGGCUACAUAUCUAUCUAAUAUGCAUCUGUGGUACAAGGUGAAUCUUGUUUCCUGAUAGAGAACAAUAAAGAUAAGUUGGUGACACAAAGUACUGAAUAAAAAACACUUCUAAUGAUCUAUAUAAUGUGAAAUCUUUUUUUAUGUGUAGAUUUAUCGAAUAAUAUCAUAAUUCUGAUAUGUAGUUUCCUCCUGUUGGGUAUCUCACGUAGCAUGAUAUGAAGCUUCUGAAUAAUUGGUUGCAGAGUUAUCGUAUGUGUCUUGGAGUUCCAAACUUCACAUUCAUUGAGCUUAAUUUUUAUAUAUCGCUUAUGUCUUUCCAGUCAUGCAGUCGCAGGUUCUCCAUUUCAUGAUUUUAAUAGUUGACGGGGUGAGAAAUUUCAUGGCAAGAGCCAUGGUUUAUCUCAGAUGUGUAAAGGGAAAUAUAUUUGUUGACCCAAAAAUCACACUAUACUGUUGCAAUUUCUCUGUUGAAAAGGUAUGCAGAAGCCAAUAGUACACAAAAUAUUUCUGUCGCCUAGAGAUUUACUGGUUGUCUAAAAAAGCACCCAAAACUGAUUGAAAAAGAAAUAGAUGCUGCUAAGUUGCAUCCAUUUGAUAUUUAGGGAUGUCGCAAGAUUGUACAUAUUCAGUUCCAAUAAGAAUAACAUUUAUCCCAACCUAUGUCUUUGCAGUGCCUUGACUAUAGCAAAAUUGGCCUCCCGUGCUAUGAUGACGCGAAGAAUGGGACAAUUUGCUCGAUCAGUUUCAAAUCAGAAACAAGAAAUUUGAGAAAUUCGUUGGAUAAGUACUAAUAUGGUGCUUUUCUAAGAAAGUAGGCAUACUAUAUAUUUUUUCCUUACAUACCACUAUGCUUUAGUAGUAUUGGUAUUUACUUUCUCAUUUGCAUAAUGAUAUAGUCAUUUAUGGGCCUUUACCAAUGAAGUGGUAAUAUUAGAUAUGGGUAAUUGGGUCAUGGAUAAUUAAUUAAUUAUUGGCUCGUAUUAACUCUGGAGCAUCUUCAAAUUUCUCAGUUAUGUUUUCUAAAAGUUUUCCCUUUGGUAUAAAUGAGAAGCUAGAAAACAAUAUUUGUUUGCUGGCAAGUAAAAUAUGGUCCCCCCUUUUGUAACUUCUUAGUGUAUUCUGUUUCUUUCAUGGGAAUUCAAUUAGACACAGUCGUUGUUGCUUUUGUAUGCUGGAACUUAGCCAAAGGAGGUUGCUUGGUUGAUAUAUUAUCUUAAAAAGUUCUACUGAGAAUUUGGAAUGAAGUGCUUGACUGGAAAUCCCUAAGCAAAACUUUGGUAAUGCUUCAUUGGAUAUCGGUUACAUUAUGAUGUAUUGCAAAUUUUCGUACUACAUAUUUGAUGAAUUAAUGCUUCUACAUAUUUGUAGGUUGUGUUAGUUGACUUUGUUGAAAUAAAUGAAUAAUUUGAAAAUAGCUGGCAUGUUCUCUUAAUCAACAUUAUUUCUUGGUGCAGAUUAUAUGAUUAUUAAUGCAGGUCCAUGCUCUACUCUGAUGGCUGAGGUUGGAUACACUUGCUACAUGUUUAUUUAAUUUUAUUCUAUUGGAGGAUUCAAACUCUAGACUGAUGAAGUGGUGCAUUUUGAAUUUUCUUCUUAGAUAUUGUGAAUGGUCUACUGAAGGUAUCAAUAAUAAUACAUAGUUUACAUAGUCAAGAUUCAUACUUUCCUUAUUACAUGUUGGUUUAUAUCCCCUACAUAUGUGAUGUGUGUUUAGCUUAUCAACUAUUCUUAAGUGAAUCUUAUGUGGUAUUGCAGGACUAACUUUUCUUUAGACAAUUUUGUAAUCUUUAGUUCAUUUUGGGUCAUUUCCAUUGCCUGUUAGUGUUUUUCGCUAGAGUGCUUUGCAGGCAGUUGUUUGAAAUAGAACCUUCCAGCCAUCUUACUUCUCCAAUAGUACUUUCUUGUUGAGUUUGGUUGGAUGUUCUCCAAAGUAAAUUUGGGAGAACAAUAAACCAUACUUUCUAUGUUUUGAAACUAGAGCUGGCCAUGAUUAAUUCUUUUCAAGUUGAUAGUCUAUCAGAGUUUGAAUUUGCUUUUGUAUAGAAAUAUGGAAGUAUAUUAUUUCAUCAUAUUUUUCCUAAAGUAGCUUCUGAUUUGUUCACAUUUGUAGAACUACACAAUCUGCACAUUCCUUCUCUUCUCCUAAUCAAUUUCAUCUCAAAUUAGGCUUUAUCCCCUGAUUAGCAUUCUGAGCUACUUAAAUUUCUUCGCCCACAUGUUUGAUUUAGGUUUUUGUUUAGACAUGACAAAUGUUUGCAAGUUAUAGACGCCGCGCCUGCCGCUGUCGGGGAGCUCCUGCCUGCGCUGCAAGCCUCAUGACCUUGCAAACUCGCUUGUGCUGCUUAAACGAUACGGCCUCUCCCUACUCAGGAUGGACUGCUUCGUGUAGAUUCACUCUUCUUUGCCUGAAGGCUCCUGUGUAUCCAGGACCGGCACAAGGAAAAUUCUGGGAUGAAGUGCUGGAGGUACCAUGCAAGCAAGCAUGGCGACCGGGAUCAUGCUGCAGUGGCUGGGUAUAUCCCCUCCCGCUAGCUGAGGAUGGGCUCGAUCAUGGUGCUCCUACCCUUACACAUGUAUAUUCCCACAUUGAACUCGAUUAUUGCAAUGAUUGGGUUGAUUUGGACAUACUGUGCCUUGAAUGACUUUUCCCGUUGGGCAAUUCAAAUGAUGGAAGCCUCUUCGGACCCUUCCACCUCUCCGGCCUCACCACUGGAGACUCGGAUGCGAGAACCGCCACCGCCGCUGCCGUGUCUGUCGGUGACGCUCACACAAGAAUCCAGAGGCAGUACCUUGGUCCUCUCCCUGAGAACAACAGCUCUCUCAUGAUGCGCAGUCGCGGCCUGAGGGUGGCGGGACUGACGCCACCGUCCAUGCCAUGUUCUGGCUGAUCCCCAAGGCUCCUUGCCGAUGUCCAACCAGCGCCACACAGCCAAUGGUACUGCCGAUAUGAGGACGCUCACCCCCGUGUUGAUCGAGCUUUUUGACCUGAGCCUGAUGGACAAGGUCAUACGGGCAUCUGAUUUUGAUUUCCUAUGUGCUCUCUUUUCACAAGUGUAGCUUUUUGUGUUAUAAAACUAUGCUACCGAUUGUUCUUUGUUGAUAUUUCCCUACUUGUGUCCUGAUUAAUGGAUCUAAGGUAGUUAGAAGUCACUGAAUAACUACUUAUACUAUUGUGUCAGCCGUCACUGGCUACAAUUGUUUAUAUGAUACUUGUACUAUUAUA